GGCUGGGGCGGGUCUCGGAUUCCAGCCCGGCGGCUGGAGCCACUGUGCAACCCCACGGCUGCCCUCGGGCAGCUCCAACCGAUCCCUUAUCAGCCAGGAGCUCCCGAACCCGGCGCGGAUCAAAUGCUGCUUUCUGAGCCGAGCCGAGGCCCCCACCCAGGUGGAGGAGGGAAUGAUGAUGUAGACACUCCUGCCUUCAAUCAACUAAAACCUGGACCCUUCAUGAAUAUGAAUGUACCCUUAGCUUAAACAUCUACUUCUGCUUCAUUGACUUCACUAAAGCCUUUAACUUUGUGCAUCAAAACAAACUGUGGAAAAUUCUUCGAGAGGUGGGAAUAUCAGACCACCUUAUCUGCCUCCUGAGAAAUCUGUAUGCAAGUGAAGAAGCAACAGUCAGAACAGGACAUGGAAAAACGGACUGGUUCCAAAUUGGGAAAGGAGUAUGUCAAGGCUGUGUAUUUUCACCCUGCUUAUUUAACGUAUAUGCAGAGUAAAUCAUGAGAAAUGCCAGGCUGGAUAAAGCACAAGCUGGAAUCAAGAUUGCUGAGAGAAAUAUCAAUAUCCUUAGAUAUGCAGAUGACAUCACCCUUAUGUCAGCAAAUGAAGAGGAACUAAAGGGCCUCUUGAUGAAAAUGAAAGAGGAGAGUGAAAAACCUGGCUUAAAGCUCAACAUUCAAAAAGCUAAGAUCAUGGCAUCCGGUCCCAUCACUUCAUGGCAAAUAGAUGGGGAAACAAUGGAAACAGUGACAAGCUUUAUUUUCUUGGGCUCCAGAAUCAGUGCAGAUGGUGACUGCAGCCAUGAAAUUAAAAGACGCUUGCUCCUUGAAAGAAAAGCUAUGACCAACCUAGAUAGCAUAUUAAAAAGCAGAGACAUUACUUUGCUGACAAAGGUCCAUCUAGUCAAGGUUAUGGUUUUUCCAGUAGUCAUGUAUGGAUGUGAGAGUUGGACUAUAAAGAAAGCUGAGCACCGAAGAAUUGAUGCUUUUUAAACUGUGGUGUUGGAGAAGACUCUUGAGAGUCCCUUGGACUGCAAGGAGAUCCAACCAGUCCAUCCUAAAGGAAAUCAGUCCUGAAUAUUCAUUGGAAGGACUGAAGUUGAAGCUGAAGCUCUAACACUUUGGCCACCUGAUGGAAAGAGCUGACUCAUUGGAAAAGAUCCUGAUGCUGGGAAAGAUUGAAGGCAGGAGGAGAAGGGGAAGACAGAGGAUGAGAUGGUUGGAUGGCAUCACUGACUCAAUGAACAUGAGUUUGAACAAGCUCUGGGAGUUGGUGAUGGACAGGGAAGCCUGACAUGCUGCAAUCCAUGGGGUUGCAAAGAGUCGGACAUGACUGAGUGACUGAACUGAACUGAACUUAGCUUAAAACUUACCCAGUUUUGCUGUUGGGAGACACUGCUUUGGGAAAAAUCCCCAGUGUUCUCAUUGUUAUCAUCUGCUUGUUCAGUGGUGUCUGACUCUGAGACUCCAUGGACUGUAGCCUGCCAGGCUCCUUUGUCCAUGGGAUUUCUCAGGAAAGAAUACUGGAGUGGGUUGCUAUUUCCUCCUACAGGGGGUCUUCCUGACCCAGGGAUCGAACCUGUGUCUCCUGCAUUGGCAAGCAGAUUCUUUACCACUGAACCACUUGGGAAGCUCCUAUGUUCCAGUAUUAAUCCUUCCUUCUCCCUUU